GUACUCAGCGGUGUUGGAACUUCGUUGCUUGCUUGCCUGUGCGCGCGUGCGCGGACAUGGCCUCAAACGAUUAUACCCAACAAGCAACCCAAAGCUAUGGGGCCUACCCCACCCAGCCCGGGCAGGGCUAUUCCCAGCAGAGCAGUCAGCCCUACGGACAGCAGAGUUACAGUGGUUAUAGCCAGUCCACGGACACUUCAGGCUAUGGCCAGAGCAGCUAUUCUUCUUAUGGCCAGAGCCAGAACACAGGCUAUGGAACUCAGUCAACUCCCCAGGGAUAUGGCUCGACUGGCGGCUAUGGCAGUAGCCAGAGCUCCCAAUCGUCUUACGGGCAGCAGUCCUCCUACCCUGGCUAUGGCCAGCAGCCAGCUCCCAGCAGCACCUCGGGAAGUUACGGUAGCAGUUCUCAGAGCAGCAGCUAUGGGCAGCCCCAGAGUGGGAGCUACAGCCAGCAGCCUAGCUAUGGUGGACAGCAGCAAAGCUAUGGACAGCAGCAAAGCUAUAAUCCCCCUCAGGGCUAUGGACAGCAGAACCAGUACAACAGCAGCAGUGGUGGUGGAGGUGGAGGUGGAGGUGGAGGUAACUAUGGCCAAGAUCAAUCCUCCAUGAGUAGUGGUGGUGGCAGUGGUGGCGGUUAUGGCAAUCAAGACCAGAGUGGUGGAGGUGGCAGCGGUGGCUAUGGACAGCAGGACCGUGGAGGCCGCGGCAGGGGUGGCAGUGGUGGCGGCGGCGGCGGCGGCGGUGGUGGUUACAACCGCAGCAGUGGUGGCUAUGAACCCAGAGGUCGUGGAGGUGGCCGUGGAGGCAGAGGUGGCAUGGGGUAGUGACCGUGGUGGCUUCAAUAAAUUUGGUGGCCCUCGGGACCAAGGAUCACGUCAUGACUCCGAACAGGAUAAUUCAGACAACAACACCAUCUUUGUGCAAGGCCUGGGUGAGAAUGUUACAAUUGAGUCUGUGGCUGAUUACUUCAAGCAGAUUGGUAUUAUUAAGACAAACAAGAAAACGGGACAGCCCAUGAUUAAUUUGUACACAGACAGGGAAACUGGCAAGCUGAAGGGAGAGGCAACGGUCUCUUUUGAUGACCCACCUUCAGCUAAAGCAGCUAUUGACUGGUUUGAUGGUAUGUAAAGAAUUCUCCGGAAAUCCUAUCAAGGUCUCAUUUGCUACUCGCCGGGCAGACUUUAAUCGGGGUGGUGGCAAUGGUCGUGGAGGCCGAGGGCGAGGAGGACCCAUGGGCCGUGGAGGCUAUGGAGGUGGUGGCAGUGGUGGUGGUGGCCGAGGAGGAUUUCCCAGUGGAGGUGGUGGCGGUGGAGGACAGCAGCGAGCUGGUGACUGGAAGUGUCCUAAUCCCACCUGUGAGAAUAUGAACUUCUCUUGGAGGAAUGAAUGCAACCAGUGUAAGGCCCCUAAACCAGAUGGCCCAGGAGGGGGACCAGGUGGCUCUCACAUGGGGGGUAACUACGGGGAUGAUCGUCGUGGUGGCAGAGGAGGCUAUGAUCGAGGCGGCUACCGGGGCCGCGGCGGGGACCGUGGAGGCUUCCGAGGGGGCCGGGGUGGUGGGGACAGAGGUGGCUUUGGCCCUGGCAAGAUGGAUUCCAGGGGUGAGCACAGACAGGAUCGCAGGGAGAGGCCGUAUUAAUUAGCCUGGCUCCCCAGGUUCUGGAACAGCUUUUUGUCCUGUACCCAGUGUUACCCUCGUUAUUUUGUAACCUUCCAAUUCCUGAUCACCCAAGGGUUUUUUUGUGUCGGACUAUGUAAUUGUAACUAUACCUCUGGUUCCCAUUAAAAGUGACCAUUUU
rnacentral:lncRNA from 1 species